ACAGCUUUUGUUCUCUAGAGGACGCAGGUUAACUGGCAACGAUCAAGAGGAAGCCCACAACAAGAAAACAGACGGAGGAUAAGUUUCAAGAUGACGCCCCUCCCCUGUGGUUGAAUUGUUCCCCAUAUUACCAGCUCAUAGAUCCAGUUACGGCUCCAGUGGCUCACGGCAUCCCGGAUCCACUUAGACCAGACUGGACCGCCUGCAGGUAAACAUGGCGGUGAACCCACGGAUAACUGCGGUUCUUCCUCCGGCCAAAACCGUCACCGUCUACCGGAAUGGAGACGCUUUCUAUCCCGGGAAAAAAGUAGUGCUGAAUCCCCGGCAUCUGUCAACUUUCGACAACUUUAUGAACACUUUAACCAGACACAUGGAGGCUCCGUUCGGCGCCGUCAGGAGGCUGUACACACCCACGGAGGGCCACAGUGUGCAGGAGCUGGCUCAGCUGAAGCAUGGGGGCUCCUAUGUUGCAGCGGGGAAUGAACCCUUCAAGGUCCUGAAUUACUGUGGAAUAGCCACCAUAAACCAGCAGAAAAAGAAAAAUACUAUGAUUAAACCUGUACCUCACACCAGAGUAGUUGCUUCAUCUCGCUGGAGGAAAACCAAGGAUGGAACUUGCACAAUAAACGUCUUCAGCAACGGAGAGCUGCGGAUUCCUCCGGCUCGGGUCCGGAUCCCAAAGCACACUCUCAAAAGCUGGGACCGUGUUUUAACCAUGGUGACGCACAAAGUGGAGCUUCGCACCGGGGCUGUUUACAAGCUUUGCCGGUUAGACGGUCGUCCUGUCAGCGGAUCUUCUGAACUGGAGAACAACCAGCAUUAUGUUGCUGUUGGACCUGAAAAGUUCAAACCUCUCCCAUAUGAACGCAAAGCUCUCCUGCUAUCUGCUCGAAACAAAAGACCUGUAAAUAAUACGGUAUGCGAUAGAGAGGACCUUGAGCUCACAGUCGGGGGCAAGAUGAAGGAACAUGCAGCCAAGACGGAGCGAGUCAAACAGCAGAGGAAGGUGUCCAGAAAACCAGCACGCGUCACAGCAGGAGCCGACAGCGUAUUUAAUGCAAAAAACAAAAGAAGGGAGGUGGAGGGCGCGGCGGAGGUGCAGGAAGACCCCCACCUGAAGGUGGACCUGCCGAUUGAUCAGGUUGAAGCGAAAACGGUUGAAGAAGAGCACGGAGCCUCUGACAGCACUGCAGACAGGAAGAGUUUAGACGCCUCGAGUCCAGAGAAAACUAAGGCUGCAGGUUGCAAGAAACAGGAGAGGCAGGAGGAGAAGGAGGCGUCAACCGGGCUCGGAGUACGGUCACGGAUGUCCCGCUUCUUCAAGGGACUGAUAAAAUUGUGAUGCUUUCUGUUUCGGUUGGUGCAUCUUUCAAUUUAAAAGCGGAGCAGCACGGAGUUUCAGAGCUGCAGACAUGGCAGGAGUGCUACAGGCCCGACGUCCUUGUUCUCAUCCAUCUCUGGAGGCCGGCUGCUCAUCGACGAGACAAAACCAUGCUAUGAACCAAAUAAAAACGUCUCGCCUCUUGACA